GGGGGACCUUCGGGCCUCUUGCCAUCGGAUGUGCCCAGAUGGGAUUAGCUAGUAGGUGGGGUAACGGCUCACCUAGGCGACGAUCCCUAGCUGGUCUGAGAGGAUGACCAGCCACACUGGAACUGAGACACGGUCCAGACUCCUACGGGAGGCAGCAGUGGGGAAUAUUGCACAAUGGGCGCAAGCCUGAUGCAGCCAUGCCGCGUGUAUGAAGAAGGCCUUCGGGUUGUAAAGUACUUUCAGCGGGGAGGAAGGGAGUAAAGUUAAUACCUUUGCUCAUUGACGUUACCCGCAGAAGAAGCACCGGCUAACUCCGUGCCAGCAGCCGCGGUAAUCAGGAGGGU
rnacentral:rRNA from 1 species